AGUAAACUGGUGAUGCCAGAACAAGAUUUUACAUGGGAGUGGCGGAUUGCCAGGUAUAUCAAGACUGCCACUCAGUUUAACCUUGUGGACAGACUAGGAGUCUAGGGUAGGUGUUGUAAGGGGACAAUAUAAAAAUAAAUUUAAAGAAAUUACACAUUUUGUCAUUGACAUGUACAACUGUAACCAUCUGUUAUGCGUUUGUGGAAGGGGACUCACCAUAAUCUCUAGAGUCAGCAAAGAGCUAAAAUUUGAGCAAACUAAUAAAUUCAUGAAGUAAGCAAAGUUGGGUCAAUUAAAACUAAGCCAAGCACUGUUGCUUUCCAUUUAGGACCACAAGCCCAGGCAGCUUCACAGGACUAGCCCCAGGGAUAAGCCAAGGUGUUGACAUUACAAAAGGUGUUCAUCUAAGAGGGGCCUGGUCAGACGAAGGGUACCAAAGUAAUGGGGUGUGUGAGAGCGGCGGCAGGAAAAGAGUGUCUUUAGCAAGGUGUAAUGGGAAGGAGAAGGGAGAACCAAGACAGAGUCUUCAUCUUUGGCAGGCUGGCUGAAGGCAGGAUGGGAGAGAUGCCUUGGACUCCAACGCUGCACUGCUGUGGGGAACAAGCUUCUCUUCUGACCAUGCUGUAAGAUCUGGACUUCCUCCAUCUAGAUUGAUCAGGAAUCCAACAGUGCUAUGGUAUCCACACAGGCUCCCUGUUGUGAAAAACUCCAACGUGACCAAUUUUUUUUUUUAACCUAUUAAAUGGUUUAGCUCCUUCCAGCUGUAAUACAAAAUACUAUUAAUUGUAACAAUGUACAGUGGUACCUCAGGUUAAGUACUUAAUUUGUUCCAGAGGUCUGUACUUAACGUGAAACUGUUCUUAACCUGAAGCUAAUGCGGCCUCCUGCUGCCACUGCGCCGCCGGAGCACAAUUUCUGUUCUUGUCCUGAAGCAAAGUUCUUAACCUGAAGCAAUAUUUCUGGGUUAACAGAGUCUGUAACCUGAAGCGUAUGUACAGUACAGUGGUACCUCAGGUUUCAAACACCUUGGGUUACAAACACCUCAGGUUACAGAUUCUGCUAACCCAGAAGUAGUACCUUGGGUUGAGAACUUUACCUCAGGAUAAGAGCAGAAAUCAUGCGCCAGCGGCUGUGGGAGGCCCCAUUAGCUAAAGUGGUACCUCAGGUUAAGAACGGUUUCAGGUUAAGAAUGGACCUCCGGAAUGAAUUAAGUUCGUAACCAGAGGUACCACUGUAUGUGGAACUAAGUAAGAGGGCUAGGGCAGCACACAGGGAGAGAAAUUUAUUGACACUGAGGGGAAGGCACAGAUACUAGGAAGUGACUUGGCACAAACAGGUCAGAGACAGAGCAGGAGGGACAGAGAGAGUUAGGAAUUGAACCAGAUUUUAUUGGCAUUGGCUUGGCCAAAGUGAAGACAGAACAGCAUUCUGGAGCAGAUGGGCUAUUGGCCUGAUCCAACAGACUCUUUUUAGUUCUUAUACACAACACCAUGUUCAAAUGCACUCAGGCAGUAACAGAGUGUGAGGCUACACAUCUUGUGGCUGCAGGAACAGGGCACUUGGCAGAGUUGGUGGUGGAUGACUGGGUGUAUUCAGCAGUCUUGGUCCAAAGAGGCUGAGGCUGUAAAAGGGGGCGCUAAUGGCCCACAUUAUAUCAUCUAGCAGAAAGUACAUGUGUCAAUAUAUAAACAAGUGCAAUGUGGGAUUUGGAAGCCCAGUGUCAUGCACAGUGAGUGAAAUAAUUUAAUUACUAAUUACAGUUCAUCAAAGGCUUAUCAUUUUUGCUGCAUGCCUCUCUACCAACACUUAACUUGUCCUUUGAUUGUAGUCUCUGAGGCAAACCCUCCCCCCCAAACCCUUAGCCAGAUUAUUACUCACUUCUCAAGCUCCUAAUUAAAGUAUAUUAAUAAAGACAGAUGCCUAAUAUGCACCCUUUGAGAGGAACAUAUUGAAAUGAAAUGAGCAAAAGUUCAGGCUAGCGUGACUCACAAAAAGGGGGAGCACUGCAUAUGGCUUGUCCAUGUUUCGAGUCUGUAAAUAAACACGAUGACAUCAGAUAGCUAAUGUGGUGCAUCUUGUUCUGCGAACAUUUUUUAUUGCACAUCCAGAUUAAACUUCCAGUCUCUGUGCUAAAAUUGUGAAUCCUAAAAUCUGUGAAAUAUUACUAAAAUAGAGAGCAGCAGUACACAAUUCUUCCCUCCCAUCUCAGCCAACUUUUUAAAUUUAUCUUAAAGUAGCUACACUGCUUGUUAACACUGUGUUGACGCUCGACAGUCAAAACUGUUGUGAACUUCCCAUGAUAUCACAAGCAGCUCAGCCAAUGUACACUGUACUCCUGUCUCACAGGAGCCCUCAUAGGGCAUUACUACCAUAAAGGAACAGCAUGAUUAGAAUGGGGCCAUCAAAUUGCGCCUUUAGCUCUGCAUCUGUUGUUGUUGUUCUCUUCCAUUUUGAAGUGUGCAGUGAGCCUGCAGCUCUCAUAUGGGGUGCUGGGAGUAGUUAGAAGUGUAGGAUAGCAAGCCUCAUAUAAGCAACAUGCUUAAGUCUAAUUAAUGCAUGAAGGGGUUAAGACCUUACGAGUAAGCUGUCCUGCCAGGUUCAGCUCCUUUAGGGAGGAACUAGGUAAUCAAGCCUUUGUUCCUUCAGUCUACUCGAGAAGCUCAGUGUAUAAAGAGGUUUGAGCUGGUUGUUCCAGUUCAGACCACAUGGCUCUCAUAAGCCACUCUUGAGUUCCUAUACCAAUGCCUGUGAAACUUUUUCUGAAUGCUGUAUGAAAAAACACACGAACCACACCUUUGAAGAGUUGGGGUACUCUCUGUUGGGGUUCCCUCACCAAAGAGUACUUGCCCCAAACUUGGAUACUGGCAUCCAGGAAUUCUCUUUAUACAUAUUUUUCUCCUUAACCAAAAAGAAGACCUCUAUUCUCCUCACAGGACUACAAUUCCCAGAGUUUCUUGCGAAGAUGAAUUGGCUUUUAAACCCCUCUAGGAGUUGUAGCUCUGUGAGGACAAUAGGGGUCUCCUAAGAAUGCUCAGCACCAGUGCUUUUUUCUGGAGGUACUCAGAAAUUGUCAGAUCAGGGUUUGAAGGGCCAAAAUCAUCAUAUUCAGUGGUACCACUGUUUUAGUAAUGCCUUUGACUUGAACCCUUGAGUACCUCCAGAAAAAAGCACUGGUGCUGAGCAUUCUUAGGAGACCCCUAUUUUCCUCACAGAGCUACAACUCCUAGAGGGGUUUAAAAGCCAAGAGAUGGGGGUGCAAGUCAAAAGCAUUACUAAAACAGUGUUACCACUGAAUAUGAUGAUUCUGGCCCUUCAAACCCUGAUCUGAUCUUUCUGGUGGAGAUUCCAAAAUCUGUGGUGCAUUUGAAGAAUCCACUUACAGCAAAUGAUCUUUCUUUUAUGUAUUCUGGUAAUUUUCUAACCAUUUAGUAUCACAUCAUAUAUCUUCACAGGUGUUUUAUCUGGACACCAGUGCGUAAGGACAACUAAGCAUUUAUACAUCUUUGAAACUACAAAACGUGAUGCUGAUCAGCUCUGAGCAAAACUAAACAUGAAUAAAAACAGUUUUUUUAUUUAACGUGAACAAUUGGUAAUACUGAAUUAAGAGAGUCAUAGAUUCACAACUUAGAACUCAACAAAAUUGAAAUUAGAAUGCAGAUUUUCAAUAGGAACCUGCUGUGCAAAAUUGUGAAACUGCAAAGUGCAAUUUACUCCAGGGCCUUUCUUUCCUUGGAUGGCUUGUUCUUCAAUCCUGCUUUUGUGCUCCCCCUGAAAUCUUUUACACUACAAAGGCAAAGACACCCCAAGUGCACAAAUGUUCUAAUCCAAUAGUUGAACAGUCACAGGAUGGGCAUGAGUGGUGGAGUGAACGUGUGCCAUGGAUUAUUUGAACACAUCUGACUAUACUGCUGAAGAUUUGUCCGGAGUCUGACUGUGAAUUAUGUGAAUACCCGCUUCCUUUUCUUUCUCAUUUUCAGAACAAGUUAUUUUCAAUCACAAACAUUUGAGGUUAUUACUGCACAACUCAAAGAAACCUUUGGUACUCAUUACGAUUUCAUUACGCUAAAGAGAUGAAAUUGCCUUCUGUCAAAAGAAUUUACCAUUUAGUUUAGCUCUUGGCUGCAGGAAACUAAUUGUCAGUGAAUCACAGAAGACAAUGCCUGCUCUUACUCAUUCAUAAGGUCCAUUGAUUCUAGCAGAUUUAACUUAUUCAUAAUAGAGGACAAGGCUGCACCGAGUAUCAUUUUGUUUUGUUAACGAUGCUCAUUUGAUGACAGCCUUAUCAGUAAUAUUUCAUUAGUAGAUGCUGAACCCCUGCUCACUUUGUUCGCCAGCUCCACUCUCCUGGCAGCCAGCCAGCCUCACCAAUGACCAUCCCUCCCCCUUUUACACCUCAGCAACCCCUGCCAUAAAACUCAGCCAAACCACCCCUCCACUUAGAACUCGCCAGACCCCCCCCCCAGCUGGCCUGGGCUGCCCACUUGCCUGUGCUGUCCAUUCUGUCUGCUGCUCAUUUGGAACAACUGGGUGCUCUUGAAAUGUACAAUAUUUUUGGAAUGCUCAACGUUGGGGGGGGGGAUGGCUUACUAAUUCACUUAAAGCUGUCCUGUUAAAGAUGGAGCUGACAGGUACCUAUUUAAGCUGAAAACCUCAGGAAAAAACAUAUGACUUGAGCACAAAAGGCUGUGAGAAAACUGAAUGGUAAAUAAUCUAGAAAUCACUGUCCACCUAUUGUGGUUUGGGUAAAGUGCAUAGAUAUGAAGGCGUAGCAUGCAAAUGAUGAAAAAUCUAAUGUGUACCAUUUACCAUGCUUUUUUAUAGAUUUCAAGAGAAUAAUUACUAGCUUGUAAAUACCAAUUACAAGGGAGACUGGCUGCACUGAGGAGAAAUUGAUUUUGUUUUUGUAUAUUUUUUUUUUAAAAAGUUUAUCACCAGUAGUCUAUUUCAGAUAAAAGUUUUAGAACAAAGAACCAUGUAAUGUGAAAUACACUAAUACUGUUCUAUGAUUAACUCAUGUGCGAGUACAUAAUUAGUGGAGCUGCUCAAUGAAAUAUGAGUUGUGGGACCUACCAAUAUAACUGUGAAGUUGAAGAGCUGCACAUAAACACCCUUGCAACCUUCUGCACAGCCCACCGUUACUUGAAGAAGAAGAAAUUAUUCCCAUUUAUGCCUUUCCUCAUUUCACUUCUCCUAAUUUUCAUGGUGCGAUGAGGCAGUCAUUUCAUUUUAUAUGGGAGCUGGUCUUUUAUAGGCCUGUUUUUCGCAGGCAACAGGUGAGGUGGGUAAAUGUCUUCUGUACUGAAUCCCUUCAGACUGCAGAUGAAGCGAUCACAUGAUCCAAUGCAUCUCUGCCCCCCUCCUCUCCCAAAUCCAAACAAAAAUCCUUAUACAGAGAAAACUAGCAAGCUAAAUUAGACUCUUUGCCUCUGGCGUCUACAGGUCCUUCCCAAUAUGAGCAUAAGCUGCUUCUCUUCUCAUGGAAGCAGAGCUCAACAGAACCUUUAUUCUCCUCUCAUUCCACCUGGCAUUUGAAUACAGGCAUGGAAACAUGUGCCUGAUGGGAGGACAUUGUAUAAUGGCCAGUGUGAUGUAGUGGUUAAGAGCAGUAGACUCGUAAUCUGGUGAACUGGGUUCGCGUCUCCGCUCCUCCAUAUGCAGCUGCUGGGUGACCUUGGGCUAGUCACACUUCUCUGAAGUCUCUCAACCUCACUCGCCUCACAGAGUGUUUGUUGUGGGGGAGGAAGGGAAAGGAGAUUGUUAGCCGCUUUGAGACUACUUAGGGUAGUGAUAAAGUGGGAUAUCAAAUCCAAACUCCUCCUCUUCUUCUCAUUGUACAGCCUCUGCAUAUGUCUUCAUUAGCACCGAGCUGAGAUACCCGCCCACAUUUUGCUGCCCACAUUUCAAGCAGUGAAAUGAGACAUUUUGUGGAUUAUAUGAGGGAUUGGGGCCCAUCAAAUUUACCCCAGUUUGAGCCAAAAGAGUAGGCAUUAGGCCUUGCAAAGAAUUUUGUGUUAACAAAGGUAAAGCACUACACUUCCUCGAAACAAGCAUGUGCCGAAUCCCUUGCAAUAUCUAAAAUUUGUGUGGAGCUUAGCAACUAAUCCUUGUAUAAAUCCUACAUUUGUAAAUAAAUCUUAUUCACUUCCUAUUUCCCUCAUGUGAAGUUGGUUCGUUUGGAAUGUGCAGGCUGUACGCUGGCAAAUUUUAAAGACUGACAUGUGCUCUGUGUAGUUACAACUAUUUGGCAUUUCAGGCAGUUGCGUUCUUUUGUUCCUUUGAACAGAUUAUUUGCUAGGUUGUGGCUGCCAGGAUGGAUAGCUGCCAUCUCUGGGAAUACUUUGUGUAUAUGGUGGUAAGGUUGAGUUUAUAAAAUGGUUUGUAGUAAGUACUCUUUAGCAUGUGAAGCCUUUGGUGUUGCCUUAAUCAUGUCUUCCUUUGAGAAAUAUAUAUUCAAAAGCCAGACUUCUUUCAAAAGAUCAUGAAAUAAAAUCUUGCAGCACUUCUUUUCAAGUCAGAGCCAAAACAAAGGUUGUAACUUCUAAUGUCUGUGCCUUUGCAAUUUCCUGAAUAUUAUGAGGAUUAAGUUUGCAGCCUGUAAGAUUUACUGUGAAAUCUCAGAGUAAUUCUUUUUCAUUGGGUCAGGCAUGAGCGUAUUCUUGACAGGUAUUUGGAGGGAUUUUGUGCACAAAUUGUGGAGUCCUAAUUAUUAUGAUUUGAUAGAAUUUUUAUUUUAAAAAAAUUAUGCUCAAAGCUUAGUCAAGAACGUGCUCUUUCCCCUAAAUAUAUAAAAGCGUGUGCCUCAUGACCAAGUGCAAACAAAUAGAAUGUUGUGUUCAAAUGAUGCAGGUGCCAGUUCAAGUCUUCUCAGCCAUGAAACUCAGUGGUUAGCCUGGUCAAGUCAUGGUGCAUCUACCUGACUUACUUUGCAAGAUUAUUAUUUUUAAAAUGUUUAUGUUUCUUUUUUGCAUAUUGGUGUAUAUUGAACCCUGAACCAUUUAUGAUUUCCCCCACCUCCAACAGUUCUAAUCACAGACUGUGACUGCAGCACAGAAAAUAUUCCCUCUUUCAAACACAGUGCCCCUGUAGUCAUCUCCACUUGUUCACUUCAGGUAUGUCUAAUAUGUGUUUGUUUGUGUGUGUGUGUGUGUGUGUGUGUGUGUGUGUGUGUAGGAAUCCCAAAGAGUCAUCUAAUCCAACCCCCUGCAAUGCAGAAACUACAAAAUGUCAAAAAAUAACCAUUCUCUGCAACCCCAUUUUUAAAUUUCAACUAUUAAUAAAAACAUUGUAUUUAGAUUUAAUGAAUCUUUGUGAACCCUAUGAGACCAGGGUUCAAAUCCUCACUCAGGCAUGAAGCACACAAGGUCACCUUGGGCCAAUCAACACCUUUCAGACUAACCUACAUCACAGAGAAAACAGGCAAUCCAACUCUAGUAGGCCAGAAACAAGGAACUGUUCUUCCUUCAUCUCUUUUUCAUAUGAAGAGGCAAAGAUCACGAAGGCAGCCUUCCACAAAUUUCCAGAUUUUCUCAAGUGCCCUGAACAUCAUGAGGAUGAAAAGCAAGCCAUCAGAGACCUCACUGCAGUGAUCCUGCAGAUAGAAGGUGAGGGUGGGGAUGUGGCAGAGGUGAGUUCCCACGUGGGCUGCUCAAAAGGUGUUGCGGCUCCCUAAGGCAAACUGCCCACUGAGAGGGCCCCAUGAGUUUAGAGACCAUUCCAAGGUCAUUCCUUGCAUGGCACAUCUCCUGGGUUCACUGGAGCAAGGAGCCAGCAAUUUUAAAAUGUCAGUUGCUAGCUGAGGAGCCCCUUCUUGUUAUAAGGGUAUCUCAUUCUCUUUCUGUCCUCUUCUUUUGAGGGCAGCCAAAGACCUCUUGAAGCAUCUGGUGGGGGUCCUCCAAUGGCAGCCUGGAGGCUGUCCUCUGGCAGGGGUGGCCUACAACCUGCAGGAGCUGCUCCACAAGAUCACCAAGUGCCUGGUAAAAGCCCUUCCUUCUCCAGCCACCAAUUCCCUCUGGUGCAGAGGCAAGAGGAUGGUGCAUCAUGUUCAGACUAUACAACAUUUGACUUAGAUUUGGCACCACAGCUCAGAGAUGGAGUUGGAGGCCCUGCUUUAUGAAAGUCUUUCCUACCUCUGCAGCAAGCAGGCAUCAGUGAAGAAGACUGCUACCAUGCUCAUCGGUAAUUGAAACAGAACUUUUGGGUCACUCUUAGCAGCAAACAGGCAGAAUCUCCCUUUGUGGUUUCAAGCUUUGUUCUGGUAUAGUCCGCUCACCUUCCCCGGUGGGUGAUGUUGCAGCUGGGCAUCCGGGACCACACAGUUAUCUGGCUGGG
rnacentral:lncRNA from 1 species